AGAAUAUCAGGCUUUGUAGUUGCUGCUGCUGAAGAUGGGGUAUCUGUGAGUGUCUCUGUCGUCUUCGGUUGCUUUGGUUCAACAUCUGCAACAGGGGCCUUUGCUUGUUCAGGGAAAAGGAAAGGACCAAAGAGAGGAAGGGAUGAAGAAAGACAGGAAGAGAUCAAGACAACUCCCUGGCCUACAUGACAGAGAAGGCCUCAUGUGUUGACAACAAUGCUUGGUUUCAGAGCUUGGACUGUUUCCUCCUGGACUGCCUCGGAGUCUGAUAUCAAAUCAAAAGGGUUGAAUUUAUUUACAACAGAGGAGACAGCACUUAAAGGAUUAACAUCUGAGAAGAAACCAGGCAUCAUACUAGACUUGUAUUCUUCCUUAAAAUCAGUUCUGGACUUGGAUUCUUUCAAGCUAAUAGUGGACGGACUCCUUCCAGGCAGCUUCUGCUCUGACCUAAACGUGUCCGUGGUUCUGCUUUUGCUAAGACCAGGCUGAGUGGGACGCCCAGGGUCCGGUGGCUUUCCGGGUUGCUGUGGAGCCUGACUACUAUCCAACUCUUGUUUCCUAGAAAACAGAAAUAGUGGAAAUUAGUUCAAAUCAGACCAAUAUUUAAAGCUAUUGGAUGUUUUUGUAACUCAAACAUAUGUAGACAUAAUUUUUGUUGCAACCUGUAUUGCCUGUAACUUUUCUUGUCUGUUACUUUUAUAUGGGUAGACAUUUUCAACAAAGUA
rnacentral:lncRNA from 1 species